GAUUUAUUUUCUAAAAAUAAAAAUAAUACCUGAAAUUUUUAAGCAGAAUAAUGCAGAAAAAGACUAAAAUGGGUAACACUGCCAACAUACACACAUUUUAUUAAACAUUUUUAGGCUAUUCAUAUGGAUACAGAUUAAUUUUACAAAACUAGGAUAAUAGGCAUACUAUGUUAUGACUUGAUUUUCUUCACUCAUCAAUACGUAGGAAACAUUUUCUGUCAAUAUUGAUAUCUCUAAUAUCUCUAACAUUUUAAUUGUGCAGCAUUCUGGUACGUAGAUAUAUCAUGUUUUAACCAGUUUCCUACUGAUAAAUGUUCAGUUUGUGUCUUCUAAAGAGCAGUUCAAUGCAAAACUUAGUAACUUUCAUCUUCAUGCUCUUGAAUUGUUACUUCCUUGGAGGAAAUUUCAGAAUUAGUGCUGUAUCAAAGAAUAACCACUUUUAGAUUUGGUGUAUACCGUGCAGCUCUCUUCCAGAAGCUCCCGAGACUACCUACUGCCCCAGCCCUCUUGAGUAACAGAUACACAACCUGGACUGGAUAAAAAUGGCCUCCUGGUACUCUUCUUCUGCCUAAUAGAAGAAAAACCCUCUGGAUAAAGAUGCCAUACAGAGCCUCCACAUAUUUUUAUAAGCAGUGCUUGGCAUAAAAUCCAAAAUCAACUAGUCUUUCCAAGAUAAAUAACGAGUUACGCCCCGACUAGUCCAGGAGGGUCAGGCAGACCUGGCAUUGUGGAUUUUUCUGUCAUAUUUGCCUUCUCCUGUUCCCAGAGGAGGGCAGUUCAACAAAUUCCACGGAGUAUUCCACUGAAAGGAUAAACCAUAAAUUUAUCAAUCCAACUGAUGUGUGCAAAGUGUCCUAUUACCUAUAAUGCAACAGGGAACAUCCUGUAUGUAUAUACAGAACACAGGCUUACAGGCCCUAUGAUGAGAUACAGCAGUAAGAUUUAGGGGUAAGGGAUCUUCAUUUUGUCCAGUAAUUUUACUGUUUCAUAGUUGAAAUUGCUUUGGUAAAAUUGAUAAUCAGUAAUUUUUUUUUAAGUCAAAAUAUCCCAACCCUUUGUACCAGAGUAAACUGGUAAAUAUAUUAUUAGAAUAUUCAAAUAUUUGGAUGCUAGUUUUAAAAAAAAUACAGUAUAAACCUCCUUGCAUACAAUCCUUUCCACUCUUGCUAUGAUCUCCAAAGCAGAACUCAGGGCUAGAAUUGCCAGGUCAAAGGCUAUAUUGAUACACAUUGACGUGACUAGCUGAUGUCCACUCCUGCAAA